UACGUAGGGUCCGAGCGUUGUCCGGAAUUAUUGGGCGUAAAGGGCUCGUAGGCGGUUUGUCGCGUCGGGGAGUGAAAACACCGGGCUUAACUCGGUGCUUGCUUUCGAUACGGGCAGACUGGAGGUAUGCAGGGGAGAACGGAAUUCCUGGUGUAGCGGUGAAAUGCGCAGAUAUCAGGAGGAACACCGGUGGCGAAGGCGGUUCUCUGGGCAUUACCUGACGCUGAGGAGCGAAAGUGUGGGGAGCGAACAGG
rnacentral:rRNA from 1 species